rnacentral:rRNA from 1 species
AUUGAACGCUGGCGGCAGGCCUAACACAUGCAAGUCGAACGGUAGCACAGAGAGCUCGCUCUCGGGUGACGAGUGGCGGACGGGUGAGUAAUGUCUGGGAAACUGCCCGAUGGAGGGGGAUAAGUACUGGAAACGGUAGCUAAUACCGCAUAACGUCGCAAGACCAAAGUGGGGGACCUUCGGGCCUCACACCAUCGGAUGUGCCCAGAUGGGAUUAGCUAGUAGGUGGGGUAAUGGCUCACCUAGGCGACGAUCCCUAGCUGGUCUGAGAGGAUGACAAGCCACACUGGAACUGAGACACGGUCCAGACUCCUACGGGAGGCAGCAGUGGGGAAUAGUGCACGAUGGGCGCAAGCCUGAUGCAGCCAUGCCGCGUGUAUGAAGAAGGCCUUCGGGUUGUAAAGUACUUUCAGCGGGGAGGAAGGCGGUGGAGUUAAUAACUUCACCGAUUGACGUUACCCGCAGAAGAAGCACCGGCUAACUCCGUGCCAGCAGCCGCCGCGG